CAGCCCUAAACGAUGCGCGUUAGGUGUAUCGGUGACCACGAGUCACCGAGGUGCCGAAGGGAAACCGUGAAACGUGCCGCCUGGGAAGUACGGUCGCAAGGCUGAAACUUAAAGGAUUGGCGGGGGAGCACCACAACGGGUGGAGCCUGCGGUUUAAUUGGACUCAACGCCGGGAAGCUUACCUGAUAAGACAGCGGAAUGAUUGCCGGGCUGAAGACCCUGCAUGACCAGCUGAGAGGAGGUGCAUGGCGUAGUCGUGU
rnacentral:rRNA from 1 species